rnacentral:lncRNA from 13 species
AUGUCUACAGAAAACUUCAGAAUGCCCACAGACAACUUUUCAGACUUGGAGCUGGAGCUAACUGAUCUACUCCAGGAGUUCGCGGAUGUGGUUGAGGAGUUGAGCGAGCCUUCACAAAGCGAAUACGAGCGGCUCCUGUCUGAAGCCAAACGGCGCACCGGGCUAGGGGACGACGGCUCAGUGGUCAGCGACAGCGGCGUGGAGGACAAUAGUGACUGCAGCAGUGAGGUGUCUCUGGGUAACAGUUGGAACACCAGCGAAGAAGAGCUCCACACUGCAGGCAUAACAGUGACGCCCAAAGCCAGAAUGGGAGACACAGGAGACCUACAGAGAUUCAUCGACAGUUUGGACCGGGAACUUGCUGAUAUGUGAACGGAAAGAGACGGAGAGAUGUAGACGGAGAAAGACGGAGACGGAGAGAGAGACGGAGAAGGCGAGAGAGCUGCUGAGACCACGUGGAAAGAGAAGAGAGAACAGGCUGCAUGGAUGGCUACUGCUGAACACACACACACACACACACACAGAUCUUAAAUAGCACAGUUUUGUCCUGUUGUGUUCGGAGAAAGCCAGCUCUCUCCUGGUCCCUCUGGGGAAAAAAAGGUUAAAAUAUGAGGAAUUAAAAGAGCAUCAUGUUCCAAUAUCUAGAACACCACUGGACCUGAGGUGGUAGACUACAUCCCUUCCCUCAGACUGGUGACAUAUUCACACCUAAAUCAUGCUGUCUUAUAGUCAUCGUGUCUCUCUUCAACAGGAGAACAUGAUGUGUCUCUCUUCAACAGGAGAACACGAACGUGUCUCUCUUCAACAUGAGAACAGGAACGUGUCUCUCUUCAACAGGAGAACACGAUCGUGUCUCUCUUCGACAGGAGAACAUGAUCGUGUCUCUCUUCAACAGGAGAACAUGAUGUCUCUCUUCAACAGGAGAACACGAACGUGUCUCUCCAACAGGAGAACACGAACGUGUCUCUCUUCAACAGGAGAACACGAUCGUGUCUCUCUUCAACAGGAGAACACGAUCGUGUCUCUCUUCAACAGGAGAACAUGAUCGUGUCUCUCUUCAACAGGAGAACAUGAUCGUGUCUCUCUUCAACAGGAGAACAUGAUCGUGUCUCUCUUCAACAGGAGAACAUGAUCGUGUCUCUCUUCAACAGGAGAACAUGAUCGUGUCUCUUCGACAGGAGAACAUGAACGUGUCUCUCUUCGACAGGAGAACAUGAUCGUGUCUCUCUUCAACAGGAGAACAUGAUCGU